UACGUAGGGGGCUAGCGUUGUCCGGAAUCAUUGGGCGUAAAGAGCUCGUAGGCGGCUCAGCAAGUCGGGUGUGAAACCUCCAGGCUCAACCUGGAGACGCCACCUGAUACUGCUGUGGCUAGAGUCCGGUAGGGGAGUGUGGAAUUCCUGGUGUAGCGGUGAAAUGCGCAGAUAUCAGGAAGAACACCUAUGGCGAAGGCAGCACUCUGGGACGGUACUGACGCUGAGACGCGAAAGCGUGGGGAGCGAACAGG
rnacentral:rRNA from 1 species